ACAUUAACUAAUUGUUCAACAACUCAGGCCUGACUUGGCAUUUUUCUUCUAGUCUCUCAUAGAAACUUCUGGCCUCUGGACACUGUGGGAGCAACUUUUCCUUUAUUAGACUGUCUCCUCUUUAACUGGAAUAUUGCAGCAUGACUGGGAAGCCUGUCCUUCAUUACUUCAAUUGAAGAAGAAGAAUGGAGUCCAUCCGGUGGCUCCUGGCAGCAGCUGGAGUAGAGUUUGAGGAAGAACUUUUUGAAACCCAUGAAGAGUUUGAGAAGUUAAUCCAAGGUGGAACCCUGAUGUACGAGCAAGUGCCCAUGGUGGAAAUCGAUGGAAUGACUUUGGUGCAGACCAGUGCCAUCUUAAGAUAUGUAGCUGCAAAAUAUGACUUGUAUGGAAGGAACCUGGAGGAACAAGCCUGAAGAGAAGGAGAUGAACCUUGAAUACAUCCUCCACCGAGCUACAACAAGAUUCUUCCCCGUUUAUGAGAAGGCCCUGAGAGACCACGGGCAAGACUUUCUUGUGGGCAAUCGGCUGAGCUUGGCUGAUGUCCAGCUCCUUGAAGUCAUCUUAAUGGCUGAAGAAUGCAAAGCCAGUGUUCUCUCGGGUUUCCCUCUGCUACAGGACUUCAAGGUGAGAACCAGCCAAAUUCCUACAAUUAACAGCUUCCUCCAACCUGGAAGCCAGAGGAAGCCUCCUUUGGAGGAGCGAUCCAUUGGGACUGCAAAGGACAUAUUCAAAUUUGAAUGAGGACUGUUUCUUAAAAACAUGAGCAAUAUAGUAGCUGAGUAUUAACAGCUACAGAGGCUGGAGUUACUCAGUAAGUAUACUGAGUAACUUGACACUGCAUUCAUAAAAAGACACUCACUAAGUAUAUGGCCAGAGAAAUAUCCUGAAGUUAGUAAUAAAUGUUAGGAAUCUUAGUAUGUUAGCAAUGUUAGAAUGUUAGUAAUGGAAAUAUUAAAUGUGUAAGAGAAAAACUACUAGAAGCUUAUCAAUAAACUACAAGAACCAACUCUUGUUUGAAGUAAGACAGGCUACCAAGACAGAAUUCAGAAAAUCCAAGGAGCCCUCGGCCUUCUGUAUGAUCCUAGAAUAAACUUGUAUGUAGCAAGUGAAA
rnacentral:lncRNA from 1 species